rnacentral:rRNA from 1 species
UACGAAGGGGGCGAGCGUUGUUCGGAUUUACUGGGCGUAAAGGGCGCGUAGGCGCUGUCAGUCAGGCGUGAAAGCCCCGGGCUCAACCUGGGAACGGCGCUUGGGACGGCGAGGCUGGAGUUCGGGAGAGGAGAGUGGAAUUCCCAGUGUAGAGGUGAAAUUCGUAGAUAUCGGGAGGAACACCUAUGGCGAAGGCAGCUGCGCUGGGACGUUACUGACGCUGAGACGCGAAAGCGUGGGGAGCAAACAGG